AGUGCUCACUGGGCUUAAAGCGUGCGCAGGCGGUUUUGUAAGACAGAGGUGAAAUCCCCGGGCUCAACCUGGGAACUGCCUUUGUGACUGCAAGGCUGGAGUGCGGCAGAGGGGGAUGGAAUUCCGCGUGUAGCAGUGAAAUGCGUAGAUAUGCGGAGGAACACCGAUGGCGAAGGCAAUCCCCUGGGCCUGCACUGACGCUCAUGCACGAAAGCGUGGGGAGCAAACA
rnacentral:rRNA from 1 species